rnacentral:rRNA from 1 species
GCGGUGGAGCAUGUGGUUUAAUCGAAGCAACGCGAAGAACCUUACCAGGCCUUGACAUGCAGAGAACUUUCCAGAGAUGGAUUGGUGCCUUCGGGAACUCUGACACAGGUGCUGCAUGGCUGUCGUCAGCUCGUGUCGUGAGAUGUUGGGUUAAGUCCCGUAACGAGCGCAACCCUUGUCCUUAGUUACCAGCACGUUAUGGUGGGCACUCUAAGGAGACUGCCGGUGACAAACCGGAGGAAGGUGGGAUGACGUCAAGUCAUCAUGGCCCUUACGGCCUGGGCUACACACGUGCUACAAUGGUCGGUACAAAGGGUUGCCAAGCCGCGAGGUGGAGCUAAUCCCAUAAAACCGAUCGUAGUCCGGAUCGCAGUCUGCAACUCGACUGCGUGAAGUCGGAAUCGCUAGUAAUCGUGAAUCAGAAUGUCACGGUGAAUACGUUCCCGGGCCUU